rnacentral:rRNA from 1 species
AGAGUUUGAUCCUGGCUCAGGACGAACGCUGGCGGCGUGCCUAACACAUGCAAGUCGAACGGCUUUUCGUGGUUCGAUAUUCGUGGUUCGUAGUUCGAUCAAGAUGGGAUUUGGGGCGGUAACAAGCCGCAAAGACAUCCUAACUCGAACAACGAAUAUCGAAUAUCGAACUACGAUUGGCAGUGGCGGACGGGUGAGUAACGCGUGGGUAACCUACCCAUAAACCCGGGACAACCCUUGGAAACGAGGGCUAAUACCGGAUAUUCUAUCAUGGUGGCAUCAUCGAGAUAGGAAAGGUGGCCUCUGAAUAUGCUACCGAUUAUGGAUGGACCCGCGUCUGAUUAGCUAGUUGGUGGGGUAAUGGCCUACCAAGGCGACGAUCAGUAGCCGGCCUGAGAGGGUGAACGGCCACACUGGGACUGAGACACGGCCCAGACUCCUACGGGAGGCAGCAGUGGGGAAUCUUCCGCAAUGGACGAAAGUCUGACGGAGCAACGCCGCGUGUAUGAAGAAGGCCUUCGGGUUGUAAAGUACUGUCUUUGGGGACGAAUGGUAUUUUUGAAAAUAUUGAGAAUACAUGACGGUACCCAAGGAGGAAGCCCCGGCUAACUACGUGCCAGCAGCCGCGGUAAUACGUA